GCCGCCCAGAAACUCUCCAUGCCAGCCCUUCUCACGUGCAUCCUCUUCAUAUUUGUUGGGCCUCAUGUGGUGCUCCCAAAGCUCAAGAGACCAAGGUUAAGGCCAAAGUUCAAAGUCCAUGAGAUGGUCAUGGGGUUUCUAGGACUAAUUUGGGCCCUAGAAUGAAAGGCUGUCCGCCUUUCGAAUCUUGAGGUUCAAAAAUUUUGGGUCUUGAGGGACUAACUUAUAUUUGGGCUAAGAUUGAGUCUAUGAUUGUGAGAUUGAGUCAAGUCAUCAGUGUACAUGGGCUUGGAUGAGUGCAAUCUUAUAUUGAGUUAGCUAGGGGAGUUUUUGGAUUGGGUGAUAUUGACCCUGUAUAUAAAGAUAUACUAUAUUAUGACUGGAUGAAGUGAAAGAAUGCUAACUCAUUUUCUCUCUAAUCAUCUCUCUCUUUCUUCAUCUCUCUCUGAUCUUCUCCUACAUUUUAGCAGCAAGAAACCCUAGGAUUUCUUGGCCACCAAUCCCAAAAAGGAAAGAAAGGAGG
rnacentral:lncRNA from 1 species